rnacentral:rRNA from 1 species
UACGUAGGGGGCAAGCGUUGUCCGGAAUCAUUGGGCGUAAAGCGCGUGUAGGCGGCCCGGUAAGUCCGCUGUGAAAGUCGGGGGCUCAACCCUCGAAUGCCGGUGGAUACUGUCGGGCUAGAGUGCGGGAGAGGCGAGUGGAAUUCCUGGUGUAGCGGUGAAAUGCGCAGAUAUCAGGAGGAACACCGGUGGCGAAAGGCGGCUCACUGGUCCGGUACUGACGCUGGAGGUGACGGAAAGCGUGGGGAGCAAACAGG